CCUACGGGGGGCUGCAGUGGGGAAUAUUGGACAAUGGGCGAAAGCCUGAUCCAGCCAUGCCGCGUGUGUGAAGAAGGCCUUCGGGUUGUAAAGCACUUUCAGUGGGGAAGAAAGCCUUGGGGCUAAUACCCUCGAGGAAGGACAUCACCCACAGAAGAAGCACCGGCUAACUCCGUGCCAGCAGCCCCGGUAAUACGGAGGGUGCGAGCGUUAAUCGGAAUUACUGGGCGUAAAGCGCGCGUAGGCGGUCUGAUAAGCCGGUUGUGAAAGCCCCGGGCUCAACCUGGGAACGGCAUCCGGAACUGUCAGGCUAGAGUGCAGGAGAGGAAGGUAGAAUUCCCGGUGUAGCGGUGAAAUGCGUAGAGAUCGGGAGGAAUACCAGUGGCGAAGGCGGCCUUCUGGACUGACACUGACGCUGAGGUGCGAAAGCGUGGGUAGCAAACAGGAUUAGAUACCCUUGUAGUC
rnacentral:rRNA from 1 species